AUCGGUUAGGCUGCCAAGCCUACGGCCGAGUAGCCAAGUCCGGAAGGGAUAAACGCUGAAGGCAUCUAAGCGUGAAGCCCCCCUCAAGAUGAGAUAUCCCAUUCGAAAGAAGUAAGACCCCUUGAAGACGACAAGGUAGAUAGGGCAGGGGUGGAAGUACAGUAAUGUACGGAGCUGACUGCUACUAAUCGGUCGAGGGCUUGACCAA
rnacentral:rRNA from 1 species